GAUGAACGCUGGCGGCGUGCUUAACACAUGCAAGUCGAACGGGAAUUAUUUUAUUGACACUUCGGUCGAUUUAAUUUAAUUCUAGUGGCGGACGGGUGAGUAACGCGUGGGUAACCUGCCUUAUACAGGGGGAUAACAGUCAGAAAUGGCUGCUAAUACCGCAUAAGCGCACCGAGCUGCAUGGCUCAGUGUGAAAAACUCCGGUGGUAUAAGAUGGACCCGCGUUGGAUUAGCUGGUUGGUGGGGUAACGGCCCACCAAGGCGACGAUCCAUAGCCGGCCUGAGAGGGUGAACGGCCACAUUGGGACUGAGACACGGCCCAGACUCCUACGGGAGGCAGCAGUGGGGAAUAUUGCACAAUGGGGGAAACCCUGAUGCAGCGACGCCGCGUGAAGGAAGAAGUAUCUCGGUAUGUAAACUUCUAUCAGCAGGGAAGAUAGUGACGGUACCUGACUAAGAAGCCCCGGCUAACUACGUG
rnacentral:rRNA from 1 species